GAUCAUGGCUCAGGAUGAACGCUAGCUACAGGCUUAACACAUGCAAGUCGAGGGGAAACGACAUCGAAAGCUUGCUUUUGAUGGGCGUCGGCCGGCGCACGGGUGAGUAACGCGUAUCCAACCUGCCCAUCACUUGGGAAUAACCUUGCGAAAGUAAGACUAAUGCCCAAUGAUAUCCCACGAAGGCAUCCGAAUGGUAUAAUUAAAGUAUUUAGUCGGUGAGUGGAGGUGGGAUCGUCGUU
rnacentral:rRNA from 1 species